AACGAACGUUAGCGGCGUGCUUAACACAUGCAAGUCGAGCGAGAAAGGGCUUCGGCCCCAGUACAGCGGCGCACGGGUGAGUAACACGUGGGUAAUCUACCCCUGAGUGGUGGAUAACCCUCCGAAAGGAGGGCUAAUACAGCAUAAGACCACGGCGUCCUCGGAUGUCGCGGCCAAAGCGGGCCUCUUCAUGAAAGCUCGUGCUCGGGGAUGAGCCCGNGGCCCAUUAGCUUGUUGGCGAGGUAAAAGCUCACCAAGGCAAAGACGGGUAGCUGGUCUGAGAGGAUGAACAGCCACACUGGAACUGAGACACGGUCCAGACUCCUACGGGAGGCAGCAGUGGGGAAUCUUGCGCAAUGGGCGAAAGCCUGACGCAGCGACGCCGCGUGAGCGAUGAAGGCCCUCGGGUCGUAAAGCUCUGUGGGGAGGAAAGAAUAAGGGUAGGUUAAUAUCCUGCCUGAUGACGGUACCUCCUUAGCAAGCACCGGCUAAC
rnacentral:rRNA from 1 species